rnacentral:rRNA from 2 species
UACGGAGGGAGCUAGCGUUGUUCGGAAUUACUGGGCGUAAAGCGCACGUAGGCGGCUUUGUAAGUCAGAGGUGAAAGCCUGGAGCUCAACUCCAGAACUGCCUUUGAGACUGCAUCGCUUGAAUCCAGGAGAGGUGAGUGGAAUUCCGAGUGUAGAGGUGAAAUUCGUAGAUAUUCGGAAGAACACCAGUGGCGAAGGCGGCUCACUGGACUGGUAUUGACGCUGAGGUGCGAAAGCGUGGGGAGCAAACAGG